AAUGAACGCUGGCGGCGUGCUUAACACAUGCAAGUCGCACGAGAACGCUUCAGCUUGCUGAAGCUAGUAAAGUGGCGUACGGGUGAGUAACGCGUGGGUAAUCUAUCUCUGAAUUGGGGAUAACAUUGCGAAAGCGAUGCUAAUACCGGAUAAAAUCCAUUAAACCUCGGUUUUUUUGGAUCAAAGGUGGCCUCUACAUGUAAGCUACUGUUCGGAGACGAGCCCGCGUACCAUUAGCUUGUUGGUAGGGUAAUGGCCUACCAAGGCAACGAUGGUUAGCUGGUCUGAGAGGAUGAUCAGCCUCACUGGAACUGACACACGGUCCAGACUCCUACGGGAGGCAGCAGUGAGGAAUUUUGCGCAAUGGGGGAAACCCUGACGCAGCAACGCCGCGUGAGUGAUGAAGGCUUUCGGGUCGUAAAGCUCUGUCAAGUGGGAAGAACUUGCUCGAUAUUAACACCAUCUAGCAUUGACGGUACCACUAAAGGAAGCACCGGCUAACUCCGUGCCAGCAGCCGCGGUAAUACGGGGGGUGCAAGCGUUAUUCGGAAUUAUUGGGCGUAAAGGGCGCGUAGGCGGUCUCUAAAGUCAGAUGUGAAAGCCCAGGGCUUAACUCCGGAAGUGCAUUGAAACUUAGGG
rnacentral:rRNA from 1 species